AUGCUAUCUUUUGGUGGUAGGGAGGUAUUACUCAAGGCGGUGAUACAGGCCAUUCCAUCCCAUGCCAUGUCAGUUUUUAAGUUACCUAAACAGAUAUGCAAUAGUAUUACCACGGCAAUGUCUAAGUAUUGGUGGGGAGAUGAGGACCUGAAAAAACACAUGCAUUGGUUUGCAUGGUGGAAAAUGUGUGUGCCUAAGGAGAGGGGCGGCAUGGGCUUCAGAGAUUUGCAUUGUUUUGGCCCUUUUGGCUAA
rnacentral:rRNA from 1 species